UACGUAGGGGGCAAGCGUUGUCCGGAUUUAUUGGGCGUAAAGCGCGUGUAGGCGGCCACACAGGUCCGCUGUGAAAACUCGAGGCUCAACCUCGAGCUGUCGGUGGAAACCGUGUGGCUAGGGUCCGGAAGAGGAGACUGGAAUUCCCGGUGUAGCGGUGGAAUGCGCAGAUAUCGGGAGGAACACCCGUGGCGAAGGCGGGUCUCUGGGACGGUACUGACGCUGAGACGCGAAAGCGUGGGGAGCGAACAGG
rnacentral:rRNA from 1 species